rnacentral:rRNA from 1 species
GAGGUCGGGAGAGGGAUGUGGAAUUCCAGGUGUAGCGGUGAAAUGCGUAGAUAUCUGGAGGAACACCGGUGGCGAAGGCGGCAUCCUGGACCGGCAUUGACGCUGAGGCGCGAAAGCCAGGGGAGCAAACGGGAUUAGAUACCCCGGUAGUCCUGGCCCUAAACGAUGAAUGCUUGGUGUGGCGGGUAUCGAUCCCUGCCGUGCCGAAGCUAACGCAUUAAGCAUUCCGCCUGGGGAGUACGGUCGCAAGGCUGAAACUCAAAUGAAUUGACGG